rfam:Onchocerca ochengi, WGS project CAWC01000000 data, contig: 00952_1602
AAACUUACCUGGCUGGGAGUUCCUCGCGAUCAGGAAGGCGGGGACUUCACAGUGAGGCUUGGUCAUUGCACUUCUCGGCUCAGGCUGACCUGUGUGGCUAUCCCGAGUUGGGAUCAGCCAACAGCAUAAUUUUUGCGUUUGGGGGUAUAGCGUUCGCGCUGACCCCUC